GCCUGGGUGGCUUAGUCGGUUAAGCGUCUGGCUUCAGCUCAGGUCAUGAUCCUGGAGUCCUGGGAUCUAACCCCAGGUCAGGUU
rnacentral:tRNA from 1 species